ACACAGAAAUCAGAAAAGCUAACUUUGUUGAGUGAAAGUCGAUAUUUUUUCAAACAAAAACACGUAAAUAAAAGAUGCCUAUACACAGACAUUUAUUUGUACUAUUUGCGUGUGUUAUUUGGGAGUGCAGUGAGCAGUUUUAACUUGGGGAUUAAAUUGGAAUUCUGGGUGCAUUCCUUAACUUUUUUUUUUUUUAAGUGUGUUUAACUUCCUGUAUCGAAAUUUCGGUGUCUUUAGACCGUUUAAAAUACAAUCUGACUUCAGAAGGGCGGCUGCAGUCUUUAGAGAAUUAAUUCACUUAAACCCGAGCACCUCCUUGCUCGGAGCACUAGUUUCGAGGAGGGAUGUGGUUAUCAUGCGCAAGAAGUAGAGAUUUUUUUUUUCGUGACUCUUCCUAGCGCAAUCUUUUUUACUCUCAACGGCAAACCGAAGAAUCUCGGCCUCCUCGGACGCAGAACUCUUCUCCCAUAUCUCCCUGGGGGUCAAGUUGGAGCGAAUAACUUCAAAACGUUUGAGAAGAAGAGGAACAGCAACAACACAGCCUUUCUCACUUGGAAAGAAACUCUUGCUGAAGCCUUGUCGUUUUAAGGAACGCCUUAUCCCGCCCCCAUUGUAUCCAGCCUGGAGUUCCCGCUCUCUGGUCGGCACCGGGAGAGCGAUUCCGAAGGUGCACCGGGACCUUCGCUCCGUUGUUGGGCGAUCUUAUCUGCGGGCCUAGAGGCCCACUUGCCCUUGGUUCCCUGAAGCUCUGGGGGCACCCAACAAUUACCACUGCCCUGGGAUAGUCCCAUCUUGCGUGACCCUGCGGGGAAUUGGGGGUGGAAGAGCGUGGACUACUGACUUUGCUCCGAACGGCCGGGGACCCAACCUGGAAAGGACCGAGGCCCCAGGCGGCUGGGGCGCGCCAGAGCGCACAGCCACAGGGACAGAAAGCGUGACGCGCGCGGGGAGCCAGGUCCAGUCCCGCAGCUCCAGGUCUCGGAACUUGGCGGCCUCGCCCUGCAGAGACGCAGCUGACAUGUCAAAGACAUUAUGAGGAAGAAGAUGAAACUCAAAGAUUCAAGGGCCCAGUGGCAAUCUACGUAGGAUUCACCUUGGAAAUCAUCACACCUUGUUCAGCUGGUUCCAAUUGCCCCUGGGUUUUGAAUCCCACUCGGGUCCGCUUACCUGCUUCUCUACCGACCUGUUGGAGAGUCAGAGAGCCCUCUGCUCCUCAAGGAAAGAUGUGCCUAUGUGUGUGCUCAGUCGUGUCUGAUUGCGACCCCACGGACUGUGUCCCACCAGGGUCCUCUGUCUGUGGGAUUCACCAGGCAAGAAUACUGGGAGUGAAAGUCCUGUAUUUUUUCCUGUUUUUGCCCAAUCAACAAAGACGUGCUUUGGAAAGCAGAUGAUGUGGAAGAUGGUUAUUAAGAAUUAAUUCUGGGUGAAAAAGUUAUUGAAUCUGUCCCACACAAUGUGCAUGUAGCUAAAUCGAC
ensembl:lncRNA